GACGUAAACCGCUGAGACGCUUUCGUUAGAACCCUUUGCGCGAUGAUGCAAUCGCCUGAGACGGAUUUGUCAGAACUUAACAGCCUUGUUAAGUGAAACAUGACAGUUUUCUUCUUUUUAAUUUUUAAUUUUUGUAGGUACAUAGUAGUGAGAAGCCUGGAGUUAAGAACUGCACAACAAUCAAUCUGGAGCAUUUUAGUCUUGAGUUGAUCUGCUAAAGCAGUUCUGAAGAGGGGUUGAUCAAAGGCAACAGGACAUGAGGAUUCAGCUUCCAGAAGGAUUCAGCUUCCAGAAAGUGUAAGAAACCCCUGAAAUUUUCUGUACUGGUAAACAUGAAAGGCAAACAUCCAUUGAGACAUGGUUCUCUAUGAAGUGGGUCUCUUUCAGCUUGGGUCCUCAUGAACUUAACCAAACAGAACAGCAUUUUGAAGAUCGUGAAACUGCCCUGGAAUAUACUUUCUUCCUGUUUGUGACUUCUGACACUCUGAGGACCCGGCCGCUGCUUGAUUAUGCCAGCCAUAACUACUUCAGAUCCCUAAAUUUAUAGAAUCAAAAGACAUUAUAGAGACCUUUCAUUCCAGUGCCAUAAAAAUGUAAUUCUCAGUACCAUUAAAGUUUCUUCUGGUGUUUCCAAUUAAAAAAAAAAAAAGAAACAAGAACACUAAUAAGA